CAUAGAGUUAAUGUCAAUGGGUUGUUAGUGGCUCUUUUAUUCCAUGCCACUUCUGUCUGACUGUCACUUCUCAGAUUUGUGCAGACUUCACAACGCAGAAUACCAAGUCACGACAGGAGAGAUGGAGAGAGACUGGGAGCAUGAGAGAAGCUGCAAGUCUAAAACGAAUGGGAGGACACCAGGAUAGUAAGGUUGACGGGGGUGGGCAUCUAUUACGUCAAAGGAAAGGGAGGACGUGCUGCACAGUUCUUUCAAAGAUUUCACAGAAUACAAAGCUGGACUUAAUAUCGCUCUCAUAGCCGCUUGCUCCCAUGGAGAGCGCCUGAAAUGCAGCGAGGGUGAGGCGGGCCAGGCGGUGUACUGUAGCAGUGUGGACCUCCAAGGUUGUAGCAACAUACCUUCCCCAUGGUGGGUCCUGGGUCUCAGGCAACUAUUACAGGCCAGUAGACUCUACCAGGGGAAUACCUCUCUCUCUGUCUCUGUCUCUGUCUCUGUCUGUCUGUCUCUCUCUCUCUCUUGCAUGCUGUUUACCCCAACGCUGUCAAACUCAGAACCGGACCAGUCCAGAACCAAGUACUCACUGAGGGGGGUGUACAUCUCCUUCAACACCACUGCUACAUCAUGUCCUUGUUUGGACGUAGUUUUGUUCUUAGCUUUUGGCUUCACUUUAGCUUGUAUUAUUAUUUCUUACAACAUAAUAUUUGCAUUGUCAACAUUACUAAAAACAUAAGUAGAUUUUAUGUGAACUACUCCUUAUACAUUACAUUGUUGCAACUUGGAAAUAGUUAUACAUUUUCACAACUUUAUGCUCGAUUGUGAGAUACUGUAUGUAAGUGCAACCAUUAAUUUGAUGAAAAUAAAUAUUGUAAAUUGAUAAUACUCUACAGGAUGAUGUAUCAAGUUGAAGAUGCAACAGUAAACAUUAAAUAUGUUCUGUCUAUUGAAAGUUUUGUUCAUGGAAGGCUAAUUGACACUUAUUUCUGAUUGUCAAGUGUCAAUGUGAUUUAGCUCUAUUUUAUUGAGGUAAUAAUAACAAGCUACGUAGAUAGGUAGACAACGUGGAUAGGUAGAUCGAUAGAAAAUGUCCGUUUUAGUCUCUAUUUGUUACUAAAUGAAUAACAUGUCUCUCUUUGAGCUAUCCUACGUACUGUCUGUUUGCUCAUUCGACCCAACGAUCGUAAUAAGAAGAAGUGCUGCAGCAUUUCUUCCAGUGUCUUAGAAUAUAUUUCAAAGCAUGACAUUCCUUCACUUCAAAACUCUUGGCUCACUUCCCAGCCGAUGCAGUCCCAUGUGAUACUACUGCUUACCUUGUGAUUAUUUAGUUUGUCACUCAACCUCAGAAUCUUCUCAUUUCUAGAACCAUGCAUGACGGCAGGCAGAAAGAAUAUCAUAACUAUCCACGUUACAAAAAUAUUCCCAUGCAAUUUGUUGCUACUUUUCAGAUUGAUUUUUUCACAUUUUCACGAAUUAUCGUGAAUUAGCUCAACGUUAAAUGAUAAUACUUGUAGUGAUGAUUAAUACAUUGUGGAGACGAUUGUGACUUUAGAUAUUUCUGAACAUGUAUUUUACCCAUUGAUCUAUUACAAAUUAUAAAUGCAAUAUUAAAAAAAGAUAAGAUGGAAUAAAGCAUUUAGAAAUGAAAUACUACCACAAUAUAUUUUUGUAAAUGAAAUAGUCAUUCCAAUCAUAUUUUAUCUUAAAUGUAUACAUGAUCUUUUUUAUCAAAGUCUAUUCAAUAUAAUUUCACUUUUAAUAUCAUUAUUAUAAUUUCUCCGGUCAUUAUUUCUACUUUUGUUGUUGAUAUUGUAGUUAUAUUGUAUUAUCUUGUACCAUUUACUGUGGUUGCAUGUUUGAAUUUGGGGAGUUUGGUGUGUUAAUUAAACAUAUUAUAUGUCUUAAUGAUAAAUGUUCUAUUAGGUCUAUACUUACUCUUAAUAAUAUUUUUUUAAAUUGAAACGCUAACAUAAGUACUUGACCAAUGUAUAGACUUUGUCAAAUGUAUGCCUUUUAAAUUGAAAAGGGUGCUUUCAAAAAAAUAUGUUAUUUAAUAUAUUAUUAAGUUAACCUACAUUUAAAUCAAACAUCAGGUUAGUUGAUGAUUCCAGUCACCCCCUUAUUCAUGUCUGCAAGACAGCCUCUCUCUAUGACCUUGGUCAUACAUAAUGUGACAGGCAUGAGGACAAACACGCUGUGAAUCUGAGACGCCGUUUAGCCAAGGUCAACAACCCUCCUGCACUUAACGCAACAUACAGA
ensembl:lncRNA